CCCGCCCCCGGCCCCGCGCCCCCGGAGCUCCCCGGGGCUCCUCACCCGGUUGCGAGUCACGGUGUGGUUGAAGGUGUAGAUGUUGACCAGCUCGCCGUUGACCUCGUCCGCGUAGGGCCUUCUUUGCUCGAACCUGAGAAUUCACCUCCACCCCCACUGCCUUUACCAUCCUCCAUCCCUGGGCCAUUAAGAAAGGAAGAACUGAAUUAGGAGACAGGCCGGACGCCUUCCCGGCGGCGGCGGCGGAGGGACGGCCGAGGCAGAACAACAGAACCUCUGGACAGUCUCACCCGCCAGGGAGGCCCGGAUGCCUGCAGGGCUCCCUCCCCUUUGCAGAGGCAGCUAAAACGCUCACGGCAAGUGAGUGACUUCCAGUGUAAAUUGCGGAAAACUUUUCUACAAAAUAUUUUGGCCUGUGUUUCAAGAAGUUGAAAGAGCUUUUGAUUCUCUUUGACAGACUAAUUCCACUUUCGGUACUCUAUCCCAAGGAAAUAAAUGCAGAUUAAAAAUGCGUAAGCAGUCAUGCUUAUGACUGCCAUAUGUGUAAUAGAAAGCAUAAAGGAAACAGCCUAAGCGUCCAUAAGGAGGGAGUGGCAAAGGUGCUAUUACCAUGAAGCCAUCGGAAAUGAUGCUCAGGACUUUAAGGAACAUGUAAGCAGGGAAUUCACAAUAUUACACUAUAUCAACGAAAACAUAGGCAUGCAAAGAAAAGCGUUGAGAAAUCUUUGAAUUACGGAUGAUUUUUAAUAUGGCAUGUACCAUUUUCUUCUAAUUUCAAAAGUAUAGAUAGGUACCACUAAGAAAAGAAAAAAAAAAAAAACACUGGAUUGUGGGUGGCUUCAGAAUGUUUUCAUACCUUUUAAAAAUUUAUGAAUUUUCUAUGACGUACAUGGACUUCUUUUAUAAGACAAAUUCGAGAUGUUUAAAGAAAAAAAUAUAUAACAUGGCCACUUCUGAAAUUGUCAGACACCAGAUGAAGCCACUUGGGCCAGAGGCUUGUGAGAAUUCUUUAGCUCACAAGAUUCCAACAGCUCCAGCUCCUGUCCCUGCCUUAUUCUCUGGGCUUCUUUCCACUGAGGACUAAUUUUACCUCACUGGCCAAUUAUAUUUAUUCAUUCCUGCAAUAAAUAUUUAAUGGGCACCUAC